UACAGAGGUCUCAACCGUUGUUCGGAUUCAUUGGGCGUAAAGGGUGCGUAGGCGGUCGCGCAAGUCGGAUGUGAAAUCUUGGGGCUCAACCCUGAAACUGCAUUCGAUACUGCGUGGCUUGAGUACUGGAGAGGAGACUGGAAUUUACGGUGUAGCAGUGAAAUGCGUAGAUAUCGUAAGGAAGACCAGUGGCGAAGGCGAGUCUCUGGACAGUUACUGACGCUGAGGCACGAAGGCCAGGGGAGCAAACGGG
rnacentral:rRNA from 1 species